rnacentral:rRNA from 1 species
CCUACGGGUGACAGCAGUAGGGAAUAUUGCUCAAUGGGGGAAACCCUGAAGCAGCAACGCCGCGUGGAGGAUGAAGGUUUUCGGAUUGUAAACUCCUGUUGUUAGAGAAGAGAAUGACGGUAUCUAACGAAUAAGCACCGGCUAACUCCGUGCCAGCAGCCGCGGUAAUACGGAGGGUGCAAGCGUUACUCGGAAUCACUGGGCGUACAGAGCGCGUAGGCGGGAUAGCAAGUCAGAUGUGAAAUCCUAUGGCUUAACCAUAGAACUGAAUUUGAAACUGUUAUUCUAGAGUAUGGGAGAGGUUGGUGGAAUUCUUGGUGUAGGGGUCAAAUCCGUAGAGAUCAAGAGGACUACUCAUUGCGAAGGCGACCUGCUAAAACAUAACUGCCGCUGAUGCGCG